rnacentral:rRNA from 1 species
UACAGAGGGUGCAAGCGUUGUUCGGAAUUACUGGGCGUAAAGCGCGUGUAGGCGGCUUUGCAAGUCGGGUGUGAAAGCCCUCAGCUCAACUGAGGAAGUGCGCCCGAAACUACCGUUCUUGAGUGUCGGAGAGGGUGGCGGAAUUCCCGGUGUAGAGGUGAAAUUCGUAGAUAUCGGGAGGAACACCAGUGGCGAAGGCGGCCACCUGGACGAACACUGACGCUGAGACGCGAAAGCGUGGGGAGCAAACAGG